rnacentral:rRNA from 1 species
GACGAACGCUGGCGGCGUGCUUAACACAUGCAAGUCGAACGGAAAGGCCCUGCUUUUGUUGGGUGCUCGAGUGGCGAACGGGUGAGUAACACGUGAGUAACCUGCCCUUGACUUUGGGAUAACUUCAGGAAACUGGGGCUAAUACCGGAUAGGAGCUCCUGCUGCAUGGUGGGGGUUGGAAAGUUUCGGCGGUUGGGGAUGGACUCGCGGCUUAUCAGCUUGUUGGUGGGGUAGUGGCUUACCAAGGCUUUGACGGGUAACCGGCCUGAGAGGGUUACCGGCCACAUUGGGACUGAGAGACGGCCCAGACUCCUACGGGAGGCAGCAGUGGGGAAUAUUGCACAAUGGGCGGAAGCCUGAUGCAGCAACGCCGCGUGCGGGAUGACGGCCUUCGGGUUGUAAACCGCUUUCGCCUGUGACGAAGCGUGAGUGACGGUAAUGGGUAAAGAAGCACCGGCUAACUACGUG